CAGGAAAAAAUUUGAUUCACAGUUUUUUCAAGAUUUCACCCGUCUCUGAGCUGUGAUGUUGUUUCAGCACAGGCUCUGAGAUGCCUGGGGACCUCAGCCUCACCAGUCCUGUCUCAGCAGUCAAAGAGUUGGCACUCUGUUAAUUGGGUGCCCACAGGCACAUUUUAAAUAACCUCAUCAGUCUGGAUAAUUCUUAUUGGUUACUGCUUCUCAGACCUGCCAGAAUUUAAAAAAAGGGAAAGAUUCUCAGGAGACUUUCCCCAGCAAAACCAGGAUAAUAUUAUUGGCACUUACAUAACAUUGCUGAACAUGGAGUUUAUCCAUGAUGCAGUCCUGUAGAGAUGCUCUCCCAUCCAAGACUAUUAACUGCUCUUUAAUAAUGUUACAAACUGGCUAGAAUUUGUCAUUGACUUCCACAGAUUCCCAGGAGUUUAUGACUGAAUUGGCCAACUUUCAUUUGGUCAUGGAAAGGGAGCAAAAUAAGAGGCACAAGAAGUUCAGCGGUGUCUUUGGUAGGUAGUGCUCUAGCAGGGAGACAUUCAGAACUUCAUCCACAGUGUCAAAUGGAGCUAACUGGAACCUUCAUCUCCCUCAUGUCCCUGUUAGAUAUAUUGCUGGCAUCCAUCCAUCCUUCCAUCCAUCCAUCCAUCCAUCCAUCCAUCCAUCCAUCCAUCCAUCCAUCCAUCCAUCCAUCCAUCCCAAUGGGAUGAUGAGUGCUGGGGUGAGUGAGCCCAGCUUGUUGGUCUGGAUAUGAGCCCAUGGCUGAUCUGUACCAUAGAAAAAAGGUCUUGACUCCCUUUGGGAUGAACUGCAAAAUAAAAGCCUGAAUUCA